rnacentral:rRNA from 1 species
UACGGAGGGUGCAAGCGUUAUCCGGAUUCACUGGGUUUAAAGGGUGCGUAGGUGGGUUGGUAAGUCAGUGGUGAAAUCCCCGAGCUUAACUUGGGAACUGCCAUUGAUACUAUCAGUCUUGAAUACCGUGGAGGUCGGCGGAAUAUGUCAUGUAGCGGUGAAAUGCUUAGAUAUGACAUAGAACACCAAUUGCGAAGGCAGCUUGCUACACGGUUAUUGACACUGAGGCACGAAAGCGUGGGGAUCAAACAGG